UCCAAAUGAGAGGGGCUGACCCACCAGGACUGCUGAAACAGGGCUAAGUGACCAAUUCGAGAAGCCAGGGAAGGAACUCAAAGUGACAGUGGAUUGGGAAGAAACCAAGCUAGUUCUGAAUAGUGGUUAAAUUACUAGGAAUCAAGGAAAGGAGAUGGAAACAAAGAAGAAAUUAAGAAAAGGGGCGAGCCAUCGAUAAGAGCCCUGACAGUCUAUAAAUGUAAAAGUCAAAUUGAUUCUUCCUGCAAAACAUGCAGAGCAGAAGAGGCGGAGGGAACAUAAUUGGAGCCCGCGUUUCAGAGGCUGCUUACUCGGCACAUGGUGUGGGAGCAGCAUUUUCACA